CCUACGGGAGGCUGCAGUGAGGAAUAUUGGUCAAUGGCCGGAAUCCUGAACCAGCCAAGCCGCGUGAGGGAUGACUGCCCUAUGGGUUGUAAACCUCUUUUAUAAGGGAAGAAUAACUGCUACGUGUACCACGAUGCCUGUACCUUAUGAAUAAGCAUCGGCUAACUCCUUGCCAGCAGCCGCGGUAAUACGGAGGAUGCGAGCGUUAUCCGGAUUUAUUGGGUUUAAGGGGUGCGUAGGCGGUUGUUUAAGUUAGUGGUUAAACGUUGGGGCUUCACCUUGAUUUGCCAUUGAUACUGUAAGACUCGAGUUGAGACGAGGUAGGCGGAAUAAGUGGAGUAGCGGUGAAAUGCUUAGAUAU
rnacentral:rRNA from 1 species